rnacentral:rRNA from 1 species
UUCGCCCUUAGAGUUUGAUCCUGGCUCAGGACGAACGCUGGCGGCGCGCCUAACACAUGCAAGUCGAACGAGCGAGAGGAGGUUUACUUUCUCAAGCGAGUGGCGAACGGGUGAGUAACGCGUGAGGAACCUGCCUCAAAGAGGGGGACAACAGUUGGAAACGACUGCUAAUACCGCAUAAGCCCACGACCCGGCAUCGGGUAGAGGGAAAAGGAGCAAUCCGCUUUGAGAUGGCCUCGCGUCCGAUUAGCUAGUUGGUGAGGUAAUGGCCCACCAAGGCGACGAUCGGUAGCCGGACUGAGAGGUUGAACGGCCACAUUGGGACUGAGACACGGCCCAGACUCCUACGGGAGGCAGCAGUGGGGAAUAUUGCACAAUGGGGGAAACCCUGAUGCAGCGACGCCGCGUGGAGGAAGAAGGUCUUCGGAUUGUAAACUCCUGUUGUUGAGGAAGAUAAUGACGGUACUCAACAAGGAAGUGACGGCUAACUACGUGCCAGCAGCCGCGGUAAAACGUAGGUCACAAGCGUUGUCCGGAAUUACUGGGUGUAAAGGGAGCGCAGGCGGGAAGACAAGUUGGAAGUGAAAUCUAUGGGCUCAACCCAUAAACUGCUUUCAAAACUGUUUUUCUUGAGUAGUGCAGAGGUAGGCGGAAUUCCCCGGUGUAGCGGUGGAAUGCGUAGAUAUCGGGAGGAACACCAGUGGCGAAGGCGGCCUACUGGGCACCAACUGACGCUGAGGCUCGAAAGUGUGGGUAGCAAACAGGAUUAGAUACCCUGGUAGUCCACACCGUAAACGAUGAUUACUAGGUGUUGGAGGAUUGACCCCUUCAGUGCCGCAGUUAACACAAUAAGUAAUCCACCUGGGGAGUACGACCGCAAGGUUGAAACUCAAAGGAAUUGACGGGGGCCCGCACAAGCAGUGGAGUAUGUGGUUUAAUUCGACGCAACGCGAAGAACCUUACCAAGUCUUGACAUCCUGCGACGAUGCUGGAAACAGUAUUUUCCUUCGGGACGCAGAGACAGGUGGUGCAUGGUUGUCGUCAGCUCGUGUCGUGAGAUGUUGGGUUAAGUCCCGCAACGAGCGCAACCCUUACUGUCAGUUACUACGCAAGAGGACUCUGGCAGGACUGCCGUUGACAAAACGGAGGAAGGUGGGGAUGACGUCAAAUCAUCAUGCCCUUUAUGACUUGGGCUACACACGUACUACAAUGGCGUUAAACAAAGAGAAGCAAGACCGCGAGGUGGAGCAAAACUCAGAAACAACGUCCCAGUUCGGACUGCAGGCUGCAACUCGCCUGCACGAAGUCGGAAUUGCUAGUAAUCGUGGAUCAGCAUGCCACGGUGAAUACGUUCCCGGGCCGUGUACACACCGCCCGUCA